CUUUCUGCGCCAGGGCCGCGCCGUGCCAGCCGCCCCUCCGCGGCCAGUAGCCCGAGCCGAGGCGCGGCCGAAGGCGGCCGUCCCGCCGGGCUACGAGCGGUUGCCAGGGCGAUGGGGAGGGCGGGCAGCAGUCAGUCACACCAAUUCAAUUACAGGUACCGGGGCCGGCCGCGAGAAGCGUUCCGCGGCUUCAAAAGCCGGGAUUAGCCGCGUCCGCGGGAGCUCCGGGGCGCGAAUAGCGGCACGCAGACCUCGGGGGGAAGGGGCUGGGGAAGGGACGUACAAAGGGAAGGACGACUCCUCCUGCCCGUUCCUCACAGCACAGAGCGGGGCCCGACGCCUGCCGAGGUGAGGCGCGGGGUGCCUCGCUGUCACCGCGGUGCCGGGGGGAAAGGGAAGAAAGGGAAAAAGCCGAGGAAAAAGAAAAAAAAGCAACAUCGGGCUCGAGAGCCGUCUGUACCACCGCCCACACGUAUGCACGCGCUACAGGACGGGGACAACGGCCGCACGCACCGACCCCUCGGGAAAAAGUAUAAUUAAAAAAAAAAAAAACGUAGCGGGAACAGCAGCGCCGAGGAGCGCUGAGCUCGCAGACAUCGCUCAGAGAGGAUUCAGGAGGGGAAAGAAAAAAAUAUUAAAAAAAAAAAACAAAAACAAAACAAAAAAAACCUCGUCCUCCCUAGAGAGCGGAGGGAAGAGCCUGGCUGCUGCCUCCGAGCCGGUCCUAAAGUUAACUUUCGGCAGCCCGUUUCCAGACAGCAGCGCUGGAUCUAUUUGGAUAAAACGCGUGUGACCCAGACACUUGGCGCCCGGCCCGAUGCGUUGCACCGGCAGCCCAAAUAAAAACAAGAGUCUGACUGCCUCUCGCUCGCUCUCUCCCCUCUCGCACAACGAGAGAAACCCACGAGCACGGAACGCGCCGACCCACGGCCGGAGCCCACUCACCUCCCCCCGCCGCACCACGUCCCGCAGACAGACACACACCGACAGCAACGCGGCUCCGCGGGGUUAAGAGUCUGGCGAGUCCCCGGCGGCCCGGAGUAAAUCAAAACCACACGCUUCCAUCUUCCUGACGAGCCCGGCCAGCGCUCGGCGGGCUGCGGGACGGCUGCCGCCAGCCGCGGGGAGCGCGGCCCGGGGGCUGCUGCGCCUGCGGGCGGGGGCUGUAUCUUUUCUUUCCCCCCUUUCUCUCCUCUUCUUCCUAACUAACGAUCUCGUGCUAAAGCCAGAACAAUCUCAAGCAAAGCUGCCCUGCUCCAGACCGUGCUGUGCAAAUCGCGGCUGUUCUCGGUCGAAAAGCCCUCGCACCCCCUUCCCCCAUUCUCAGAGGUUUCUCUCUGAAAUCGCUCCAAUCCACCUCGCCUGGUGCGAGACGGCUCCCCCCGCGCCCGAGCCCUGCACGCAGAGCCGCUCGGGACACGAGAAAAGAAAAAGUUCAUCGAAUAGCGUGAAAUCUUCCUUACCGUGCUCAUCUUCACUUUCUGAUACAAAAUAAAGUUGUUCAUUAGAUCUCAGUGAUCUGAACAAUCUGUAAGACUUAUGGAGAAAAAAGUUGGGACAAGUUGUACAGUGUGUGGAAAUGCAUGUGGAAAAUCUCUAUGGAAAAAUCAGAUUUUCGGCUUUGCACAUGAAUGGAUACUCUUCUAUUGAGAUCUUUCUUUAGAGGGAUGAAACAAAUUAACGGGAAAAGAAUACCAGUGAAUUCACUUUGUGUGCCAUCUCCGCGAAGUUUUUUUCUGAGACUCCAUGGAAAAAAAAAGAAAUGCAGAAGCCUGAAGUGUCCCACGCAAAACUCUCAGAAUAGGCAGGGCAUCCCGGCAUUCCUCACGCUCAGCUCCGCGGUAAAACUGCACACCAAUCUGUUACCAGCUACCACAGUUUCUUACCAAAGGUGCCGUGUAAAAUAAGUUACUAAAAAUCUUCUGAAGUCCAUCUGUCUUUCAGAAAAUAAAGCAUUUUCUUCUUGAUAGAAGUUAGGUUUUUGUUGUUGUUGUUGUUUCGUUAUUUGUUCAGUAAUUUGGGGAAAUAAAUCUAAUCUGCAGAAAAUAUAUUUUUUUUCAUCUUGAGGACAGAAAUCUGAGUGACAAAAUGCCCCUAUUGCCCAGAGUGUCUAAUUAUAUCAUAUGACUGUUUUUCUUUAAAAGCUUUAUUAUGGCUGCAGGGUUAAACAUGCGUGUCCAAGUAAUCGUGCACGGGUGGACUUGCUGCUACCGAAGUGUCUUCUGCCCCCUUGCUGACAUGUAGGCCUUCAGGCAUUUAGGCCCCCUCAGAACUUCUAAAUGUUGCAGAUAUUGUUUUACGUAGAACAUAGGAGAAAAAAAAAAAAAAAAAAAAGUCCAUCACUGCUUUUUUGUUCUCUCUUCUAUAAAGAAUCUAAGUAUAAAAUUUACAGCUAUUGAAUCUUAAAGUACUUUCAGGUGAUACAAUGACAACAUGAUCAGCAGUAAUGAAAGUGUCCUUCAGUCACUGACAACAAACUACCAUCAGCAGUGGGAUCAAUAAUAUUUCAGGGUUAUCCUACUUCUGUCUACCUCCCUGAUCCUGUUCAAAGAAGAUAUAAAUUCUCCCUCUAGCCUCUGAGAUGCAUUAAGAAUAUAAAGGGUAUAGAAUUCAGUGGGCAUCUUUUCUUAGUUUAUUAACUAUUUUUUUACAAAUGAGAAACAUAUGACUGUAUAUAAACUGGCAUGGUCACAUGAGUUUUGUAGCUAAAAUUCAUGUUAAAAAGAGAAAAAACAAUUUUAUUCAGGUCUGUAUAUUUAAAUGUAAAUUUGUACCAUAUAUAUCAAAUCAGUAUGUAUGUGUAAACAUAGAAUGGGAAUACACUUUAUCAGGAACGUGAGCAAGUCUACUGUUUAAAUUAAUUCUUUGCAAUUUCCAGAAAGUGGUAUUUUGCUAUUACAAAAACAACUUGAUCUUGUCUUGUGGCUAGAGUUCUGUAAUUAAACUCAGAUCCCCAG